CUUCAACAGCUAAGAGGAAUUGCUUUAAAUGAAAUGAAUUAUUUUGAUUUUAGGAACUCUGUUGGACGCUAAAACAAUAGACUCAGUAGCUCAAUAGCAAAAAUAAUUAAAAUGAGUGUCAUCUACAGAGACCUUUUAUUCAGAGAUGAAGGUUAUUUUCCUCUCUCUGCAUUCAGCUGCGCCAGUGGGGCGGAGGAGCCCACGGCGGUCGCCAGGCUGUGCAUGGGGGAAACAGCCACCACGAGAUCCUGCAGCUGCUGUGGCAGAGCCUGCUGCCCAUCACUUGGAAAUAUUGCAGCGCUACCCAAGUAGAUGGGCAUUCCUAUCCAGAACCAAGGCAGAUACUGUGGCCUUUGCAAAAUCUGCCUUCUCAAAUCAGUUGUAUUUCCAAGAAGAAUUGUAUUUUCAACUCAGAUAUCUGUCCCAUCUGCACGUACCUGACUAUGUUCAAUUAGCAACUUUGACUUUGGCUGUCAGUCUUGAGUUUUUAUUCUUUAGAGCCAGAAAGGAAUCAAACUAUGAAACUUCAGAACUGCGCAUCACAAGGACUCCUCUAAACCAAUUGCUGCAGUUUUGAGAUGGAACUGUAGGGAAGACAUUGAGCCAUGGACUCUAUGGACAACGACUAUGGUUAUACACUGGAAGCAACGGGAAAGAAAGAUUCUCUUUGGUUUCACUGGAAUUCUGGACUCACCAGAUUGUACUCUACAGUUGCUCAAGUCAAAAGAAGGGUGUUACUAAAAUGUGAGUCUCAAGAUGUUUGGAUACUGCUGUCCUCAUGAACUUCUGUGAAGCUAAACCAUACAUUAAUUUUACUAUGUCACGUUAGCAUUCACGUCUGCCUUUCUCUCAUUUUGUGUUUAUUGCUGUCAGUCACAAAUGGAGGUAAAACUCAGAAUUAAGGAUAGUUGCCAAGAGUUAAUACUGAAGUGCUGUGCCAAAUGUGAAACACACCUUUCUCUCAUAGAUAUGCUGUUUCAGCAUUGCUGAAGGGUGGUGGUGUUGGGGUUUUGGUUUGCCUAAGUAUAUCUGUAUGUGUGGGUGUGUGUGCGCAUUUACAAACAGAGGCUCAAAAUAGACCUGGGUGAGCCAAACAUAUCUUUAUUAAUUUGAUUGAAUCAUAUGGCAGCACAUGGAUUUACACUUGGGGUAUCCAGUAGAAGAGCACUGACCAAAUAAAAGCCUUCCAACUGAAGACUAACUGCA
rnacentral:lncRNA from 1 species